UACGUAGGGGGCAAGCGUUGUCCGGAUUUAUUGGGCGUAAAGAGCGUGUAGGCGGCCAGAUAGGUCCGUUGUGAAACCUCGAGGCUUAACCUCGAGCCUGCAUUCGAUACUGGGCGGCUAGAGUCGUGGUAGGGGGAUCUGGAAUUCCUGGUGUAGCGGUGGAAUGCGCAGAUAUCAGGAGGAACACCGGUGGCGAAGGCGGGUCUCUGGGCCGAUACUGACGCUGAGGAGCGAAAGCGUGGGGAGCGAACAGG
rnacentral:rRNA from 1 species